UUGUGAAGAGGAUGCUGUGGAGGUGGCAGCAUGAACGUGUCACACAGACAUUGGCUAAACUACUCGGCUUCUACACUUGCCCUCAGAGUUCACAUAUGGUGAAGUGCACAGGUGUCCAGUCAGGUUCAGACUGAUGCUGGUAACAAGAGGAAAACAUGCUAAUUGAUGACCUUUCCAGCAUGUCCAACUCAUCAGCAUCAGGGGAGGAGAGUCGGUGAAGGUGGUGCACCAUCCAGGACCAGUCAUGGGCCACCAACACCUCUGCAAAAUCUGCACUUCUUGUGAACCCUCUAGAAGACACUACAACCACAAAACUGCUAAUAAACCAUCACAUACUACAUCA